rnacentral:rRNA from 1 species
CAAUAGCGUAUAUUAAAGUUGUUGCGGCUAAAAGCUCGUAGUUGGAUUUCUGUCGAGAAGGGCCGGUCCGCAUUUUGUGCGUGUAUCUGGUUCCGGCUUGGCAUCCUCGUGGAGAACGUUGCUGCGCUUCACUGCGUGGUACGGUGUUCACGACUUUUACUUUGAGGAAAUUAGAGUGUUCACGGCAGGCAAUCGCCCUGAAUAUACUAGCAUGGAAUAAUAAUAUAGGACCUUGGUUCUAUUUUGUUGGUUCUGAGAGCUAAGGUAAUGAUUAAUAGGGAUAAUUGGGGGCGAUUCGUAUUAACGUGUCAGAGGUGGAAUUCUUGGAUUACGUUACGACGAACUAAUGCGAAAGCAUUUGCCAAGGAUGUUUUCAUUGAUCAAGAACGAAAGUAAGGGGAUCGAAGACGAUUAGAUACCAU